rnacentral:piRNA from 1 species
UCCGUCACUCUCCACUUCUUC